GCGGAGGUGGUGGAAUUUGGUAGACACGUACGUUUGAGGGGCGUAUGGGGCAACCCGUGCGGGUUCAAGUCCCGCCCUCCGCA
rnacentral:tRNA from 2 species